CCUACGGGGGGCUGCAGUCGAGAAUCUUCGACAAUGGGCGAAAGCCUGAUCGAGCGACGCCGCGUGCGGGAUGAAGUCCUUCGGGAUGUAAACCGCUUUUAUGGGGGAGGAAAUUUUUGACGUUACUCCAUGAAUAAGAGGUUGCUAAACUCGUGCCAGCAGCAGCGGUAAUACGAGUGCCUCAAGCGUUAUCCGGAAUCACUGGGCGUAAAGGGUGUGUAGGCGGCUAUGUUAGUCCGUGGUCAAAUUCUUCGGCUCAACCGGGGGUCCGCCACGGAAACGGCAUAGCUUUGAGGGUGCGAGAGGUGAAUGGAACUCUAAGUGUAGGGGUGAAAUCCGUUGAUAUUUAGGGGAACACCAAAAGCGAAGGCAAUUCACUGGCGCAUUCCUGACGCUGAAACACGAAAGCGUGGGUAGCGAAUGGGAUUAGAUACCCUUGUAGUC
rnacentral:rRNA from 1 species